GCAAAUGCAAAGAACAGAAUACGGUUGCCAGAGAUCCAGUACUUCAGAGAGCCGUUGGCUGGUGUGAAACGGUGUAUGUCUAUGGUGAUUAUCCUCUGCGAGCAGUGCACUGAAUUUCUUCACGAUAAGUGAUGAACACUAGGUGUCACCGGUCUUCCACCGUUAAAAGGAAACUUAUUUCAAGAGCUGUGUUGGCACAGUUUCAGAGAUGAGGCAUGAGAGGUCAUUUAUUUUCAAAUGGCAAAUAAAGUGGUAUCGCGGAAGUUACAGGCUUUCGUCUUUAUG
rnacentral:ncRNA from 1 species